AUUGAACGCUGGCGGCAUGCCUUACACAUGCAAGUCGAACGGUAACAGGUCUUCGGAUGCUGACGAGUGGCGAACGGGUGAGUAAUACAUCGGAACGUGCCCGACCGUGGGGGAUAACGAAGCGAAAGCUUUGCUAAUACCGCAUAAGAUCUACGGAUGAAAGCAGGGGACCGCAAGGCCUUGCGCGAACGGAGCGGCCGAUGGCAGAUUAGAUAGGUGGUGGGAUAAAAGCUUACCAAGCCGACGAUCUGUAGCUGGUCUGAGAGGACGACCAGCCACACUGGGACUGAGACACGGCCCAGACUCCUACGGGAGGCAGCAGUGGGGAAUUUUGGACAAUGGGCGAAAGCCUGAUCCAGCCAUGCCGCGUGCAGGAUGAAGGCCUUCGGGUUGUAAACUGCUUUUGUACGGAACGAAAAGACUCUGGUUAAUACCUGGGGUCCAUGACGGUACCGUAAGAAUAAGCACCGGCUAACUACGUGCCAGCAGCCGCAGUAACAC
rnacentral:rRNA from 1 species